UACGAAGGGGGCUAGCGUUGUUCGGAAUUACUGGGCGUAAAGCGCACGUAGGCGGACCUUUAAGUCAGGGGUGAAAUCCCGGAGCUCAACUCCGGAACUGCCUUUGAUACUGGGUGUCUUGAGUGUGGAAGAGGUGAGUGGAAUUCCGAGUGUAGAGGUGAAAUUCGUAGAUAUUCGGAGGAACACCAGUGGCGAAGGCGGCUCACUGGUCCAUUACUGACGCUGAGGUGCGAAAGCGUGGGGAGCAAACAGG
rnacentral:rRNA from 1 species